rnacentral:tRNA from 1 species
UGAUCUGUGGCUUAGUUGGUAAAAGCGCUGGACUAGCGAUACGGAGUCAUGGGUUUGAAUCCCAUCAAAACAA